rnacentral:misc_RNA from 1 species
UCCUGAAUUCCUCCUCUGUUCUGUUAAUAGAAUUUGUGCUCAGAUAAAUGAAAAUCAGAAGCUAUGUACGUCCUAUAGAGAUCCAUGUGAUAUGAGAGAACAUAAUUGUGAAAUUGGUUCUGUGCUACUUUUUGUUUUUUGUAAUUCUUCAAAAAAGUUCAUUUUGCCGUUGGGAAAAAAAAGUGGAGAUUUUUUAUGGCAAAAAGUUCACUGCAAGAACUGGGAAUCAGUCUGCACAAACAGAGUAUGCUUGGUCUCUGACAGAGAAAUUGUCUUCUCAGAACAUUCCUCGGUAAAACUAUGAUAAUCAGUUUGGGAGAUUGGUUGUAAUGGAAACAACCAAAUAUAUCGGUCGACUGUACGUACAGUUUAAUUAGACGAAGGGCGGAGAGAGGACUCCAAAGCAAAUGUAAUGCUGACACAAACAAACAGAGGUUGAGCAAAGGAGAGAAGAGCUGUGACCUCACGAGACACACGAGUUACCAAAAAAACAAAGGUCACCUGACGUCCAGGUAGCGGUGACCG